CUCCAUGAUGGCGCCAAGCAGUGGAGAAGACAACGAAAGGACAGUGGAAGCAAUGAUACACUCAGGGGGGAUGAUAGGGGAUGUUUCUUCAAAUCUUGAAGAUUUUUCGCCAAAUCUUAUCAAUCUUUUCACAGGCCCACCACAUAUGUAGCAGGUUGCCAUUCUGUUUGUUACAUCUCCAACAUAGUGAGUUGUCUUCGGC